UCCUGGACGUGGAUGUAUGCUC
rnacentral:siRNA from 1 species